AUGUACUGCUCAAGAUGUCUCAUAGAGAAUAUGCAGAGCAAGACGUGCUCUGUUUUUUCUAAGUAUGUCUUCUCCCACACGGUGGUGCAGAUCCUGCGCUCGUUCGACGUGCUCGCCAAUGAGGCGCUCCGGCAGGGGCUCAUGGAGUACUCUAGCUGGCCCGCCUUUCUGGAGUAUUACAUAGAUGGUGUCUCACAGAAUACGGACAGCAAGAUGUGCUCUGCUUUCUUGAUUAACGCGGCCAUAGUUUUCAGGUGGCCUGCACUGACGUCUUGCCAAAGCAGCGCUCAACGUUUCUGGCCGGCUACUCGCAGUGUGGCUUCUCCCACAUGGUGGUGCAGGUUCUGUGGUCGCUCGAUGUGCCCUUCGAAACGCUCAAUGCGCUAG
rnacentral:rRNA from 1 species